CCUACGGGUGGCAGCAGUGGGGAAUAUUGCACAAUGGGGGAAACCCUGAUGCAGCAACGCCGCGUGAGGGAAGGAGGAUCUCGGUAUGUAAAGCUCUAUUAGUAGGGAAGAAGAAAGUCGGACCCGGACCAAGAAGCCCCGGCCAACUACGUGCCAGCAGCCGCGGGAAUACGCAGGGGGCAAGCGUUAUCCGGAUUUACUGGGUGUAAAGGGAGCGAAGACGGGUGUGCAAGUCGGAGGGGAAAGCCCGUGGCUCAACCGCGGAACUGCUUUGGAAACUGUAUGGCUUGAGUACGGGAGAGGCAGGCGGAAUUCCUGGUGUAGCGGUGAAAUGCGUAGAUAUUAGGAGGAACACCAGUGGCGAAGGCGGCCUGCUGGACAGAAACUGACGUUGAGGCUCGAAAGCGUGGGGAGCGAACAGGAUUAGAUACCCUUGUAGUC
rnacentral:rRNA from 1 species